rnacentral:rRNA from 1 species
GACGAACGCUGGCGGCGUGCUUAACACAUGCAAGUCGAACGGUAAGGCUCCAGCUUGCUGGGGUACACGAGUGGCGAACGGGUGAGUAACACGUGGGUGACCUGCCCUGCACUUCGGGAUAAGCCUGGGAAACUGGGUCUAAUACCGGAUAGGACCGCACCGUGAGGGUGUGGUGGAAAGUUUUUUCGGUGUGGGAUGGGCCCGCGGCCUAUCAGCUUGUUGGUGGGGUAAUGGUCUACCAAGGCGGCGACGGGGAGCCGGCCUGAGAGGGUGGACGGCCACAUUGGGACUGAGACACGGCCCAGACUCCUACGGGAGGCAGCAGUGGGGAAUAUUGCACAAUGGGCGGAAGCCUGAUGCAGCGACGCCGCGUGGGGGAUGACGGCCUUCGGGUUGUAAACUCCUUUCACCAUCGACGAAGGGUUUCUGACGGUAGAUGGAGAAAAAGCACCGGCUAACUACGUG